rnacentral:rRNA from 1 species
UAACGCGUGAGGAACCUGCCUUCCAGAGGGGGACAACAGUUGGAAGCGACUGCUAAUACCGCAUGAUGCGUUGGAGCCGCAUGACUCCGACGUCAAAGAUUUAUCGCUGGAAGAUGGCCUCGCGUCUGAUUAGCUAGUUGGUGAGGUAACGGCCCACCAAGGCGACGAUCAGUAGCCGGACUGAGAGGUUGGCCGGCCACAUUGGGACUGAGAUACGGCCCAGACUCCUACGGAAGGCAGCAG